GCGAAAAGAGAGGGAGGAGAUACUGGCGGCGAACGCCCAUUGGUCAGAGCUUGGCCGACUUGUCCAAGGAAGUUCGGAUUGGCCAGCGGCCGAAAACACCUCGGGCUGGAUUCUGCCCUCCCAGAUAGCGACUCCUGGCAACUGGCAGGAGCGCUGCCCGCGAAUGCCCUGUCUCGGUUUCCGUUCAAUUCUCCCCCCACUAGGCAAACUCCUAGCAACCCGUCUCAUAGCCCCCUAGCCUUGUUUUCACUCCGGUCGUUUUUUGAGGGUGAAACGCUAGGAGGGUAGGACUCCGGGAGCCGCCUAGGUAGCAGUCCCCCGGCGCUCCCACAGGACUCAGAACCUUAGCGUCCACACCAGCUACGAGAUCCUCAGGCAGCUCAGGGUCUCUAAGAAACUCACAGAGAAAGUAGAUAGGGCCUUCCCGCCCCCCCCCCCCCGCAAGCGUGGAGUGGCGGCUAGGAGACGGCGGCGGACCCAGGCGAGAGCUGUCCUGGGGCUAGCCUGUCCACCAGUACUGCGGAAACAAUGGGGAACUGGCUGUUCACUUACGACUCUACCUCACCUGGCACAGAGCAUGCAAGUUUCAUACAAUACUCAGAAUUCACCUCCACUUAACUCUCGCCCUCCCUCCCCAGCCGCCUCCAAGCCUAGGUCAAUCCUUCGACCCCUGGGCCCGGAAGAUGGAGUUGGGGGCAUGAGGUACUAGGGCUGGUGAGCUACUGACUCGCGGCCCUGGCUUUAUCAUCCAGAUGUGCAGACAGCUCUGCGGCCACCUGCGGAAGCAAACGUCGCAGGGGCUCCAUGCAGACCCUCCACAGCUAGAGUGCUUCAAUAGUGAGAAGAAAGUGAGCGAUGGCUGCGCGUUCGGCGGGCGCAUACAAGUGCGCCAGUGCGAGUCUGGGCCACCUUAUCGUACUCUGCACACACUACAGCAGUCUGGCCGUGGUGGCUGCCAGUGAAGCCGAGCAGCUGACCAGGUACAGCGCCCGCCAGCACAGGUUAAAGAGCUCCAGAGUUCUAGACCCUGUUGCGUGCCACGAGGUGUGACCAGUGACCCUUCGGCCCAAGGGACUGGGGCUGUAGACUCAUAGCCUGGGCUGAGAUUGUUACCAGCUUAUAAGAGGUCCAGGGCGCUCGGGCAGAGGGAAGCCAGAGAGAUCUGGGAAUCCGAAAGCCCUAGCCAAGUACCUCCUGCUGCCCCUGCUCAGCUCGCGGCGUUGUGGCCACACUGACCCCUUUUUCCUGGAGCAGAUCGGCUCCCGCGGAGCCCGGAGAGCUGUGGCUGCAGGCACACGACAACGGGCCAAACUUGUAGCAUCCAUAAGACUGCUGGACGCUAUAAAUGGGCUUGGUGGGACCGGGCUAGAACACGGAGCGGCUCCUGCGGGGACCUUGUAAUCAUUGCACCGGGCUGCCCCGAAGCCUCCAACAGCUCUAGUUGCCUAAGUUCUCCAGGGCCAUGAUCAUAUACGGAUGAGCCCUGAGUCCUAGGGUGUGUCUCAAAAGGAAGGUCACCCCGGGUGCAGGUUCCAGAAGAGGGUCACCGUUGGAGCAAUGCCCUCAGGAUAGAGAUACCGCUGAAGCCAAGUGGUACAGGGGACCACUUGGAGCACUCGGGCAACCACGCGUCUGCGGGAGGCCAAGGGGUCCAUGAAGAUGGAGUUGCCCUCGAGGGGCACAUCACUUCCUAAUGCUGUAUCCUGUGGUCAGGCACCGGAAUUGCCUCAGAACUCUAGCUCCCUGCUCUACUCCUCAGAGUGCCAGCCAGCACCAUAUAAUAGAGCUGCCUCCCCCUGGCACACCACUGGAGUGUAAUGACAGCUGUGGUCACCAAGAUGCCAGUAAAGCGACAAACCCCUGGGCUCUGGAGCCAGCAGGGGAAUAGGUAGGCACUGAAGGUCCAGAAUACAUAGCCAUAGAGGCUGGCUGGGAAGAGAGCUUCCACUACCAACCAGGAAGGUUGGCUUCAACUAGGUCGACCUGGAUCUGGGGCAGGAAGAAGGGCAAGCAGCCAGGCUCAGCUUCAUCCUCUGGUCCCCUGUGAGGGCAUCCCCAUAGCUAAGCACAGAAACAACUUUGUGAGGCCCAGGGAAGAGGGCGAGUGUGCAGGCCCUUGUCAACCCUUCAUCCCUUUAUAGCCAAAGUGAUGAACGUGGCACAAGUCAACUGUCUUCUCCAGCUGUUGGGCUGGAAGAGGAUUUAAAUGGGUUCGGGGAGUUGGUUUGUGUAGAGCACUGACCCUCCUCCUUGUGGUGCCCAAUACAACUGACCCAGGAACUAAAGAGGUUUACCUUUAACUCCUUUCCCCCAGGUAGUCAUCCCUUCAGGCUGUCUAAUACCAUUCCCCAGGAAAGAAGUCACUGGGUUAAUAUUAAUAGUUAAUCCCUCAGUACCUGCACCCCACCUCUGCUUGCCUCACUUUCAGCUAUCUUAAAGAUAGGAAGACCCAGAAAAUGUACAUUAAGAAUCCAGUAAUUUCAUCUUUGAAAGAUGGCAUCUAAAAAAAAAAUCUGCCCACAUCUAUAGAUAUCUGAAGAGUCUUUUUUCUUUUUCUCUCUCUAGUCCUGACAAUAAGAACACUGGGAACUCUCUUGUGGUAACUCUCCAGAGGUACUUCCUCAUUCCCAACCCACUCCAAAUUGCUAUUUCAAAUUCCUGCAAAUGUCCUAGUGCAAUCUCCUAUCUCUUAUCGAUAGAUCUAGUCCCUCCACUUAAUUCCUAGCUGGAACUUCCAUGAGCCAGGGAGGAAUCUUAAAGAAUCUUUCUCCCUUAACAGCUAGAGAGGCCUACACAGAGAGGCACCCUGUAACUCUGGGAGCAGCCCCAUUUAAUCUCUAAUUUGAGAGGCCAGAUUGCCUUUCCCUCUUAUCUCUGUUCCAAUGGGGGCCCCCCCAGUAAACAUACAAGGCGUUCAUCAUUAGAGUCUGCCCAGGGCAGUGACCCCAGGCACAUGACAGAACCUAUCUUAGACUGCACUAAUGGCCCUGGUUCCAGCCUGCCCUGCCGCCUGUACUCCACAGUGAUUACCCCACAUGCCAACCUUCCCCUAGACAGGGCUGGGGUGGGUGAUGAUGGCCACCAAUAGAACACUGAUGUGGGAAGAGGGGGGGAGAGACUGGAUGAUUUAUCAUCCCCAGACAAUCAUAUUGGAAUCACUUGUCUUCCUGGCCUAUGUCACAAAUAGUUUACCAGGGGUGGGGAACCUUCGGCCUCAAGGCCACAUGUGGUCCCCACCCGUGGUUUAGACUGUAAACUGCUUGAGCAGGGAUUCUUAUUCUUUGUAUUUGUAUCCUCAGCACCAGCUAACAUAAUGCCUGGAAUGAUAAUAAAAUUUUUGACUGUGA